rnacentral:rRNA from 1 species
AGGAUGAACGCUAGCUGGAGGCUUAAUACAUGCAAGUCGAGCGGGAUCCACCCAGUAAUGGGUGGUGAGAGCGGCGCACGGGUGAGUAACGCGUACACGACCUACCUCUAACAGGGGGAUAGCCCUGGGAAACUGGGAUUAAUACCGCAUAUAAUUCUUAUUUUAAAAGAUGGGAAUGAAAGUUCAGGCGGUUAGAGAUGGGUGUGCGUCUGAUUAGCUAGUUGGUAAGGUAACGGUCUUACCAAGGCGAUGAUCGAGUAGGGGGCGUGAGAGCGUAGGACCCCCACACGGGUACUGAGACACGGACCCGAUCCGUACGGAGGCAGCAGUAAGAUAUUGGACAAUGGCCGACGAAGGCUAGAUCCGAGCCAUCCAGCGUGCGAAGGAAGA